GACAGAGGUGCCGAGCGUUAGGCGGAAUCACUGGGCUUAAAGCGUGUGUAGGCGGGCCGUUAAGUACCUUGUGAAAUCCCCCGGCUCAACCGGGGAACGGCUGGGUAUACUGGCGGCCUUGAGAGGCCUAGGGGCGAGCGGAACAAGCGGUGGAGCGGUGAAAUGCGUAGAUAUCGCUUGGAACGCCGACGGUGAAAACAGCUCGCUGGGGGCCAUCUGACGCUGAGACACGAAAGCCAGGGGAGCGAACGGG
rnacentral:rRNA from 1 species